rnacentral:lncRNA from 1 species
CUGCAUCUCCUACCUAAUGCAAUUGACCGACCCGCCAUUUCUUUCCUUCAAUAAUGCCUUCGCUUCACUUCAAGACGCUAUUUACCAAGGAAAGACUACCUUUUUUUUGAAUGGAAGAAGCCGAAGGGGUGAACGAGCGCUGCGGUAACGAGCCGUAAGAAGAAAGACUAUCUUUUUUGAAUGGAAGAAGCCGAAGGGGUGAACGAGCGAUGCGGUAACGAGCCGUAAGAAAGAUGAGCAGAGCAUUCCUUCCGCCGGCCUUUAUAGGAGUAGGGGAGCGUGGUGAGAUAGAUAGACGUCCAAUCCUGCAGCAGCUAGUUGCUCGGCCUUAGUCUUGGGCUGAUCUCAGACUUCAAUCAACCCCUUCGUACUUCGAUCCAAUCAAUCGAUCGAUCAAGAGGCUAAUCUCUUUUGUUUGGG